CUUCCUAGGGGGGCAGCAGUGGGGAAUAUUGCGCAAUGGGGGAAACCCUGACGCAGCAACGCCGCGUGCAGGAAGAAGGUCUUCGGAUUGUAAACUGUUGUCGCAGGGGAAGAAGACAGUGACGGUACCCUGUGAGAAAGUCACGGCUAACUACGUGCCAGCAGCCGCGGUAAUACGUAGGUGACAAGCGUUGUCCGGAUUUACUGGGUGUAAAGGGCUCGUAGGCGGGAUAGCAAGUCAGUCGUGAAAUGCCGAGGCUUAACCUCGGAGCUGCGAUUGAAACUGUUAUUCUUGUGUAUAGGAGG
rnacentral:rRNA from 1 species